UAGGGAAUCUUCGGCAAUGGACGAAAGUCUGACCGAGCAACGCCGCGUGAGUGAAGAAGGUUUUCGGAUCGUAAAACUCUGUUGUUAGAGAAGAACAAGGACGUUAGUAACUGAACGUCCCCUGACGGUAUCUAACCAGAAAGCCACGGCUAACUACGUGUCAGCAGCCGCGGUAAUACGUAGGUGGCAAGCGUUGUCCGGAUUUAUUGGGCGUAAAGCGAGCGCAGGCGGUUUCUUAAGUCUGAUGUGAAAGCCCCCGGCUCAACCGGGGAGGGUCAUUGGAAACUGGGAGACUGGAGUGGAGAAGAGGAGGGGGGAAUUCCAUUUGUAGCGGUGAAAUGCGUAGAUAUAUGGAGGAACACCAGUGGCGAAGGCGGCUAUCUGGUCUGUAACUGACGCUGAGGCUAGAAAGCGUGGGGAGCAAACAGG
rnacentral:rRNA from 1 species